CGGAGAGUGCAAGCGUUAUCCGGAUUUACUGGGUUUAAAGGGUGCGUAGGUGGGUAGGUAAGUCAGUGGUGAAAUCUUCAAGCUUAACUUGGAAACUGCCAUUGAUACUAUUUAUCUUGAAUACUUUGGAGGUAAGCGGAAUAUGUCAUGUAGCGGUGAAAUGCUUAGAUAUGACAUAGAACACCAAUUGCGAAGGCAGCUUACUACACAGUUAUUGACACUGAGGCACGAAAGCGUGGGGAUCAAACAGGAUUAGAUACCCUGGUAGUCCACGCCCUAAACGAUGGAUACUCGACAUUAGCGAUACACAGUUAGUGUCUGAGCGAAAGCAUUAAGUAUCCCACCUGGGAAGUACGAUCGCAAGAUUG
rnacentral:rRNA from 1 species